AGAAACCUGGGAGCAGGGACUAACUGAAACUUAUAACACAUACCUGUAGACCAGCACUCAUAGAGGCAUUAUUCAGUAACUGUCAAAAAGCUAUGUGAGUCAGGAUGCACCCAAACCUUGGGCUCCAGCAAUCACCCCAGCCGGGGGCUUCCUGGGUAAUGCACACCACUGUGCCCAGCUGCGACACUUUAUUUUUAAUGAGCAUGUGUAAAGAUGGAGCAGACAUUGAAGGAAUGGCCUAAUGGGAGUCCUGGUCUCACCCAAGUAGAAGGAGGCCUACAUAAGGACAAUGGAAGAAGGAAGGUUUCCUUUUUCAACUUGCCAGCACAUCUAUAGGAGCCUCCUCCUUCAGGAUUCUAGCUUAUUCACAAGACCAGCUGAAACACCUAGCCUCAAGGGACUGAGCAAUACAGCUGCCCAUUGCUGGGGUAAUUGGGCUGCAGAUGGUAAAUCUCCAAAUCUGUAAAUCCCCUGGCAGAGACCCACAACCAUACUUUAUGCAAAUAGAAUCUCAAUUGGAGGUCUCCAUUGGGUUCCUCCACUUGGAGCUCAGGGAACACUGAAGAAGAGGCAGAAGAAAGAUUGUUAAGAGUCAGAGGGGAUUGAAAACACCAGGCCUGCUCUUUCCUGAAGAGGAAAUGAAGAAGGAUUAGAUGUGAAGAAGAGAACUUGGCUGGGCGGGGUGUGGUGGGAGGCAUGGUAGAAGUGGAAGAAGAGGAAACUAGCUGGAAUGUAUUGCAUGAAAGAAUCUAUUUUUCAAUUAAAAAGUAAAUUUUAAAAAAGAAAAAAUAAAAAUAACAAAGAAA
rnacentral:lncRNA from 1 species